rnacentral:lncRNA from 1 species
UGACAGUUUUAUAUUUUAUCUCUAGUCUACAUAAGGGAAAUUGACUUGGAGAGCUGGGAGAUUUGCCCAAGUACAUUAGGCUUCCAUUAAUAGGGGUAGUGGGCAGGGACCUAGGGCUCUGCUAGCUAUCUGUUGGGGCUAGGAUGGGGGUGAGGGUAGAGAGAACAAGGCAAAAGAGUUCAUCUAAAUUGCCUGCCUCCUGACACGGAUCCUUCCUGUCUGUCUCUCUCCAUCCCUUUGGACUUCUCAGUUCCAAGCUGGACAGACAGAACAGUAAGUAAUUUGCUCCAAAUAGGCCAGGUCGGCAGAAAACAAGGGGCUGGUGUUGCUUUAGGGAAUGCCUUCAGAUCCAGAGCUUGUCCAUCUCUGCAGGCAGAGUUCCCCGAAGCUUGCUCUCCUCCUCUGAGACAGACUUCCAAACAUGAAAUCACAACAGAAAGAAAAUCCAGAUAUUAGUCAGUGGCCUUUAAAUGUAAAAGCCCC